GCCCAACUAGCUCAGUCGGUAGAGCAUAAGACUCUUAAUCUCAGGGUCGUGGGUUUGAGCCCCACAUUGGGUG
rnacentral:tRNA from 2 species